rnacentral:lncRNA from 1 species
GAGCAGACGGGUGUGACUUGAAAGGACGAGUCGCUUCGUUUCCUCUCGCCACGUGUAAAGGCUAUGAAACAGCACUCGAGUGGCUAUUCUUUGAGAUUUGAACUUCGAGGUCGUUUUGGACCGUUGGAUUUUCGCGCCUUUUCGUUUCCCCUGAGAUCACAUCUGGGCCACUUGAUCGUGAUUGAUCCGGACCGUUAGAUCGAUCCUGUGGUUCAGAUGGAAGCGGCGCGAAUUUUCCUGUACGGAUGCGUUGGCCUAUAUAUAGGAGGGAGGUUUUUCGUUUGAAACUUUACAGUUUCUCACUUACUUUCUCUAUCAUUUUGCCUUCCCGGUCCAAGCUUUCUCUGGUGUUUUUCUACUACAAACUCCUCAUUCCUGUCUUCAUUUGAUCAACAAGUAAG